UCCUAGAAGGACCGGGAAUCCUGCAGCCUUCCUUACAUUUGUACCCCACUUGCUCCUCAGCACAUUAAGGUGCCUCACCUGGGCCAAACUUGACCUCAAAUUUUUGUCCGUCUCCUUGUCCAAACUCAUAUCCCGAUUUUCCGGUCCUCCUAUUUUUGUUUGUUUUUAUGAUGCUUUCCCAAAAGGAGAAUCUGAUCAUGUUACUCUCACCUUGUAGAAAUUCUUUAGUGGCUUGGUAUAAUGAUAAAAUUGUGCGGGUGGAUGGUGAUGACGGUUGUCCCAAAAUGCAAGUGUACCUAGAGGCACUGAAUCAUGGACUCAAAUAAGAAAUUUCAUGUCUUUCUGAUUUUAUUAUGAUAAAAAAUUAUGUAAUAGUCCCUGCUGAUCACAAAACAUCUUUGAAAGAUGACAUGGACCUCCCAGGGCCUUACAAAACCUUUACUGUGAACACACUGAGCUCACCUUCCCGUUUGUACCUCUUUGUCUGCCCACAAUCCACUCCGUCUGCCUGAUUCUGUUUUAUUCCCUCUUUGUCUCGCUUCCUGAAAUCUACUCCAACUUCAAGACCCAGAUCAGGAGGAGCCCUGCCAUCUCCUCCACCAGCCAUUUGUCACUGACCUUGCUUCUUUCUCACCAGAGAACGAAGUGGUUUAAUUGUAGUAAGUUCUAGAAGAGGACAAUGGACACGUACAAGUUGUCCACCAGAUGACCGCCCAAGAGAGCCACAUAAAGGAACACUGUGUGUCCACUACAGGGUCCAGGCACAAGCUGACCAUGGCCCCGAGCACUCUGCCUGUCUCCUGGACAUCUUUGUGUCCCUCUCCCUUCAGAACUGACUCCUGCUGUGUUUUUUGCUUUCUCGGUCUUUUUUUCUUCUUUACGGUUUAACCCGGCUCCUGUGCGGCCCUGAACAAUGAACCACGUGCCUGCGCGUGCUUCUGCCCUGGUGUGAGCAGAAUCACACUGCAAGCUCUCUGUGGCCUGUUUAGGUCCCCUCAAAGUGACAUUCAGGAGACCCAUCCACGCUGUCUGUGUUGGUGUGAUUCUCUCGUCUUCGCUGCUAUCUACGGUCCCCGUUGGAUAGCACGUUUGCAGGUGGUGGGAAUUUUGAUUAAUUCCAAAUUUUCUUUUAAAAAUCAUGCUGACAUGGCCAUCUCUCUACAGGUCUUGGGGCAAACACAGAUUCUUCAGGGGGUAUCCUCACAAGUAGAAGUGCUGUCACAGAUUCUAUUUAGCAGAGUCAAUGGGGGUCUGCCCGGAUACGAGCACACUCCUACUGCAUCCUGGCUCAGGAGGGGUUCUCCACUUCUGUGAAUCAUCUGAACCU
rnacentral:lncRNA from 1 species